rnacentral:sRNA from 1 species
AAAUUAGGAAAGCAAAAGGAUGUCUCUGAAGAGGAAGAAGUAGACGCAAUGUGAACAUCUCUCACCAUUAUAUUCGUUGUAAAAUUCAUGGAUGACCCAACAGUCUGGAUAAUCCUCAUAAUGAAAGAGCUCAGCGUAAGAUCCGAAUCGUUUUGGUUCCAAAUCAGAAAUGUGGUCAAUUAGUGUCUUGGCCAUGAUAUCUACAUCUGUAAAACACUUGUUCUCUCGUUUGAAAGUAUUAAACGCGUCUAAUACUUCAUUAUCUGCGCAGCGGUUUAGCGCAAUGUAAAGAAGCUUGGCUAUAGGAAUGACAUCUUUACAAUCAUUCAAUAAUGAAAUGGCGCCUUUCAUGUCGAGAGAACAGAACCCUAGCCUCAAGCUCAGGAGAUACAUAGCGUAAGGGUUUCUUUUUGCAAGACAUUUGGAGUAGAAUGAGAAGUGAACAGAGUCGGGUGAAGACAUGUUGAUGAAGUCAGGGCUUUUAUCUAAACGAACUCGGGAUAGUGUCUCGACAGAGAAAGCUGCAGAUUUCCCUUCAUGACCAGAUUUAAUCCAGUUUUUCAGAGCCUCAAUUCCUUCUUCUGAAACGUGGCUAACAAUUAGUGCGAGAAUUGGUUCCGGAAUGUAUAAUCUUGCAAUCUUCCUCUGUUGACAACGAAGACGAAAGUUUAUAGAAGUUACAUAUACUUUGUGGAAUGAAUGUAAACUAUAUUGUUUA